GGGCCCGCACAAGCGGUGGAGUAUGUGGUUUAAUUCGAUGCAACGCGAAGAACCUUACCUACUCUUGACAUCCAGAGAACUUAGCAGAGAUGCUUUGGUGCCUUCGGGAACUCUGAGACAGGUGCUGCAUGGCUGUCGUCAGCUCGUGUUGUGAAAUGUUGGGUUAAGUCUCGUAACGAGCGCAACCCUUAUCCUUAUUUGCCAGCACUUCGGGUGGGAACUCUAAGGAGACUGCCGGUGACAAACCGGAGGAAGGUGGGGACGACGUCAAGUCAUCAUGGCCCUUACGAGUAGGGCUACACACGUGCUACAAUGGCGUAUACAGAGGGCAGCGAACUCGCGAGGGUAAGCAAAUCCCAAAAAGUACGUCGUAGUCCGGAUUGGAGUCUGCAACUCGACUCCAUGAAGUCGGAAUCGCUAGUAAUCG
rnacentral:rRNA from 1 species